UACGUAGGGGGCAAGCGUUGUCCGGAUUUAUUGGGCGUAAAGAGCGUGUAGGCGGCCAUACAGGUCCGUUGUGAAAACUGGAGGCUUAACCUCCAGACGUCGAUGGAAACCGUAUGGCUAGAGUCCGGAAGAGGCGAGUGGAAUUCCUGGUGUAGCGGUGAAAUGCGCAGAUAUCAGGAGGAACACCAAUGGCGAAGGCAGCACUCUGGGACGUGACUGACGCUGAGACGCGAAAGCGUGGGGAGCAAACAGG
rnacentral:rRNA from 1 species